rnacentral:rRNA from 1 species
UACGGAGGGUGCGAGCGUUGUCCGGAAUCACUGGGCGUAAAGGGCGCGUAGGCGGCGCGGGAAGUCAACGGUGACAGCUUGGGGCUCAACUCCGAGUCGGCCGUCGAUACUCCCGUGCUCGAGCACUGUAGAGGCAGAUGGAAUUCCGGGUGUAGCGGUGGAAUGCGUAGAGAUCCGGAAGAACACCGGUGGCGAAGGCGGUCUGCUGGGCAGUUGCUGACGCUGAUGCGCGACAGCGUGGGGAGCAAACAGG